rnacentral:rRNA from 1 species
UACGUAGGUGGCGAGCGUUGUCCGGAUUUACUGGGUGUAAAGGGCGUGUAGGCGGGUAAUUAAGUUAGGUGUGAAAUACUGCGGCUCAACCGCAGGGCUGCAUCUAAAACUAAUUAUCUUGAGUGCCAGAGAGGAAAGCGGAAUUCCUAGUGUAGCGGUGAAAUGCGUAGAUAUUAGGAGGAACACCAGUGGCGAAGGCGGCUUUCUGGACUGUAACUGACACUGAGGCAUGAAAGCGUGGGUAGCAAACAGG